GAGAGACUACUGAUAGAGAUGC
rnacentral:siRNA from 1 species